rnacentral:misc_RNA from 1 species
GAAAUGCGAUAAGUAAUGUGAAUUGCAGAAUUCAGUGAAUCAUCGAAUCUUUGAACGCACCUUGCGCCUCUUGGUAUUCCGAGAGGCAUGCCUGUUUGAGUGUCUUAUAAAAUCAAUCCCCAUGGGUUUUGCCUUGUGGUGGACUUGGACUUGGGUGUCUGCCGUUCUGGCUCGCCUCAAAGAUGUUAGUGGGACAAGCUGCCUACGGCCCGACGUGAUAAGUUUCGUCAGACCUGGCUCCUUAUGCCUGCUCCUAACCUGCCCCUCGGGCAACACUUUAUGCUAGACCUCAAAUCAGGUAGGACUACCCGCUGAACUUAA